GACGAACGCUGGCGGCGUGCUUAACACAUGCAAGUCGAGCGAUGAAGCACCUUCGGGUGUGAAUUAGCGGCGAACAGGUGAGGAACACGUGAAGAAUCUGCCUUCAACUCUGAGAUAACUCCGGGAAACCGGGGCUAAUACCGGAUAUGAGUCUUGAUCGCAUGAUCGGGGGCUGGAAAGUUUUUCGGUUGAAGAUGGCUUCGCGGCCUAUCAGCUUGUUGGUGAGGUAAUGGCUCACCAAGGCGACGACGGGUAGCCGGCCUGAGAGGGCGACCGGCCACACUGGGACUGAGACACGGCCCAGACUCCUACGGGAGGCAGCAGUGGGGAAUAUUGGGCAAUGGAGGAAACUCUGACUCAGCGACGCCGCGUGAGGGAUGAAGGCCUUCGGGUUGUAAACCUCUUUCAGUAGGGAAGAAGCGAAAGUGACGGUACCUACAGAAGAAGCACCGGCUAACUAUGUGCCAGCCGCCGCGGUAA
rnacentral:rRNA from 1 species